CCCAAGAGCAGGAUUUGACACUCUUGAGCUGAACUCUGCAGGAAUGGUGUUCCCAGAGAAGAAUGGGACACCUCUCUUGCUUAGUCUGCACCGCUUCAGACUCUCGGGUGGCUGCGAGAUACUGCAUGCAAGCUGGGAGUGGGCGCAGAGGCCUGACACUCCCGCCUACACAGGCAUACGGACCAGCGCAGAUCUGCGACCAGUUCUGCAGUUACUGGAACUGACUAAGGCUGGAGUUCCGAGAAAUGCAGCUGGUCUUAGACACGUUUGGUUCGGAACGCAAACACACAUAAUCCUUCACAAACCAUGUCAGACAGGUUAACAGUGAUGUUUGUGGCGGUCUUGCGUUCCACCAAGCAAAGUGUCACAUUCCAGAAGGGUGAGGUUGUUAAAUCGGUUGACUGGGAAAGCGAGGGUGAGGCGUGGGCACUGGGGUCUCUCACAGAGUGAAACCCUGUACACAAACUCUACAGUACGGUUUUUGGAAAACCAUGUUUGACUGCUCAUAAUAUGUCCAUUCAUAUUGUGUACUGUAAAGGUUUAAACAAUGUCUGUGUCCAGAGAACCUGAGGUGCAUUAAUUUUGAGGAGGCAGUGAAACUACCUUUGUAAGGUGCAUCAAGAAAUGACUGACAGUUCACAAAACCUUCCUCCUAAACUUGCCAGAAUCCAAAGGCUUUCUGUGCAGUCUCCAGCAUAUGAAUCCAUGUCACCUCGAAGCGUCUAGUCUUAAACUUACCAAUCAAAAAACACUUUCCCUUGCCGCCCCAAUCACCUUUUCCCACGUAAGGUAUCCAGUUGGAAAACAGCUCAUAUUUUUCCCCUUAAGUGCAAAACAUUGCCUCUUAGAAUGCAUUACAUUAGUAGAAUCAGCAC
rnacentral:lncRNA from 1 species